UAGUACGGCGAGUGAAGAGGGAAGAGCCCAAGAUUGAAAGCUGGCGUCUUCGGCGUCCGCAUUGUAAUCUCAAGAAGUGUUUUCCGCUUCGGACCAAGCCUAAGUCCCCUGGAAAGGGGCAACAUAGAGGGUGAUAAUCCCGUACAUGGCUUGGAGCGCCCGAGGCUUUGUGGUACGCUUUCUAAGAGUCGAGUUGCUUGGGAAUGCAGCUCAAAAUGGGUGGUAAAUGCCAUCUAAGGCUAAAUAUUGGGGAGAGACCGAUAGCGAACAAGUACAGUGAUGGAAAGAUGAAAAGAACUUUGAAAAGAGAGUUAAACAGUACGUGAAACUGCCAAAAGGGAAGGGUAGGAGGUCAGAGAUGCGGCCUGGGAUUCAGCCUUGCUUUUGCUUGGUGUUUUUCCCAGAUUGCAGGCCAACGUCGGUUUUGGGCACUGGAGAAGGGUAGGAGGAACGUGGCACCCCUCGGGGUGUGUUAUAGCCUCCUACUGGAUACAGCGACCGAGACCGAGGACAGCAGCGUACUCGCAAGAGCGGGCCUUCUGGCACCUUUACGCUUAGGGCGUUGGCAUAAUGGCCCUCUACCACCCGUUGA
rnacentral:rRNA from 1 species